AGGGAAUCUUCCGCAAUGGACGAAAGUCUGACGGAGCAACGCCGCGUGAGUGAUGAAGGUUUUCGGAUCGUAAAGCUCUGUUGCCAGGGAAGAACGUCUUGGAGAGUAACUGCUCUGAGAGUGACGGUACCUGAGAAGAAAGCCCCGGCUAACUACGUGCCAGCAGCCGCGGUAAUACGUAGGGGGCAAGCGUUGUCCGGAAUUAUUGGGCGUAAAGCGCGCGCAGGCGGCUGUUUAAGUCUGGUGUAUAAUCCUGGGGCUCAACUCCGGGUCGCACUGGAAACUGGACGGCUUGAGUGCAGAAGAGGAGAGUGGAAUUCCACGUGUAGCGGUGAAAUGCGUAGAGAUGUGGAGGAACACCAGUGGCGAAGGCGACUCUCUGGGCUGUAACUGACGCUGAGGCGCGAAAGCGUGGGGAGCAAAC
rnacentral:rRNA from 1 species